rnacentral:rRNA from 1 species
GCAGCAGUGGGGAAUAUUGCACAAUGGGGGAAACCCUGAUGCAGCCAUGCCGCGUGUGUGAAGAAGGCCUUCGGGUUGUAAAGCACUUUCAGCGAGGAGGAAAGGUUGGCGCCUAAUACGUGUCAACUGUGACGUUACUCGCAGAAGAAGCACCGGCUAACUCCGUGCCAGCAGCCGCGGUAAUACGGAGGGUGCAAGCGUUAAUCGGAAUUACUGGGCGUAAAGCGCACGCAGGCGGUUGGAUAAGUUAGAUGUGAAAGCCCCGGGCUCAACCUGGGAAUUGCAUUUA